rnacentral:rRNA from 1 species
CCUACGGGUGGCAGCAGUGGGGAAUUUUGGACAAUGGGCGCAAGCCUGAUCCAGCCAUGCCGCGUGUGGGAAGAAGGCCUUCGGGUUGUAAACCACUUUUUAGAGAGAUUCGGUACCUGGAGAAUAAGCACCGGCUAACUACGUGCCAGCAGCCGCGGUAAUACGUAGGGUGCGAGCGUUAAUCGGAAUUACUGGGCGUAAAGCGUGCGCAGGCGGUUUUGCAAGUCAGAUGUGAAAGCCCCGGGCUCAACCUGGGAAUUGCAUUUGAAACUACAAGGCUAGAGUGUGUCAGAGGGGGGUAGAAUUCCACGUGUAGCAGUGAAAUGCGUAGAGAUGUGGAGGAAUACCGAUGGCGAAGGCAGCCCCCUGGGAUAAACUGACGCUCAUGCACGAAAGCGUGGGGAGCAAACAGGAUUAGAUACCCUUGUAGUC